rnacentral:rRNA from 1 species
GAUUAACGCCGGCGGCGUGCAUAACACAUGCAAGUCGAACGAUGAAACUUUUUUGAUUUCUUCGGAAUGAAAAAAAAGUGGAUUAGUGGCGGACGGGUGAGUAACGCGUGAGUAACCUGCCUUAGAGAAGGGGAUAGCCUUUGGAAACGAAGAAUAAUACCCUAUGAAACCAUAACCUCGCAUGAGGCCUUGGUCAAAGAUUUAUCGCUCUAAGAUGGACUUGCGUCUGAUUAGUUAGUUGGUGGGGUAACGGCCCACCAAGACAGCGAUCAGUAGCCGGCUUGAGAGAGUGUACGGCCACAUUGGGACUGAGACACGGCCCAGACUCCUACGGGAGGCAGCAGUGGGGAAUUUUGCACAAUGGGGGAAACCCUGAUGCAGCGACGCCGCGUGAUUUAGAAGGCCUUCGGGUUGUAAAAAUCUUUUCUAUGGGAAGAAAAUGACAGUACCAUAGGAAUAAGGACCGGCUAAUUACGUGCCAGCAGCCGCGGUAAUACGUAAGGUCCGAGCGUUGUCCGGAAUCAUUGGGCGUAAAGGGUACGUAGGCGGGUAAGCAAGUUAGAAGUGAAAUCCUAUAGCUCAACUAUAGUAAGCUUUUAAAACUGCUCAUCUUGAGGUAUGGAAGGGAAAGUGGAAUUCCUAGUGUAGCGGUGAAAUGCGCAGAUAUUAGGAGGAAUACCGGUGGCGAAGGCGACUUUCUGGCCAUAACCUGACGCUGAGGUACGAAAGCGUGGGUAGCAAACAGG